rnacentral:lncRNA from 1 species
CGUUUCCUUGUGCUUGACUGUCCUUUUUUUGAGGUGGGGCUGUAUUUAUCUUUUUAAAAUCAAUCCCUCAUAUCUUAUAUAGUGACUUACACCUAAUUUGUGCUCAGCAGUUGUCAAGUUGAAUUGAAGGAAAAGAAGGGAAGCAAAAUUGUCGAAACUUGGAAGGCAGGGGCCUCCUGGGCAGGCAGGGCAGCUGUAGCCACGAGGCUAUGUUGC